rnacentral:lncRNA from 1 species
CGACGUCAACGAGGUGCGCUAGCCCCGACACUCCACCGCCCUGACGACUCCCUCUACCGCCCCCCAAUCUCUCGCCGCCCGGGAGACCCCUUCCUCCACUGGGAGUGUUCGCCCCGAAGAGCCUCUCACCUCCGGGGGCGCACGGCCAGACUACCUCCUUACCGCGGGGGGACGCCCAACCCAAGGACCAUCCCCGUCACCACCCGGGACGCCCGCCCCGACAACCCCCUCCAUAGCUAGUGACGCCCGCCCCGAGGACUCCCUCACCGCCAGGGGUGGUCCGCCCCAGCUACCCUCCUCGCCGCAGGGGAUCGCCAGUCCCAACGACCCUUCCACAGCCAGGGAACGCACGCCCAGACCCCCCGCCACCGCCGGGCACGCACGCCCCGACGACCCCUGCCCCCCUCUGCUGGGGAUGCCCGCCCUCAUCCUUCCUCCCCUCGCCCAUGAGGGAACAGCUCUCCUCUCCUCUCCCGGUUGCGCCCUUGCCGUCAUCAAGGCAAAGUCGUGCCUGACCCCUGCGACAAUUGCUUCCAUCUCACGUGGCGAAGAGCUCCAAGCACUGGCAUAUGGCCCUUGAACUUUCCACAUCCGAGACACUACGAGGUGCGGCCCCCAGGGCCCAGCUCGAAGCCCUCUGACCCUCUGUGGCCCCUCCUCCCCCAGUGCAACGCCCACCCCUGCUUCCCCCGAGUCCGCUGUAUCAACACCAGCCCGGGGUUCCGCUGCGAGGCUUGCCCGCCGGGGUACAGCGGCCCCACCCACGAGGGCGUGGGGCUGGCUUUCGCCAAGGCCAACAAGCAGGUUUGCACGGACAUCAACGAGUGUGAGACCGGGCAACAUAACUGCGUCCCCAACUCCGUGUGCAUCA